GGUGAAAUGGCUGAGGUUAGGCGAUAAAUUGUAAAUUUAUUUAGGAAUAAUAAUUCUUUUACCA
rnacentral:tRNA from 1 species